UACCGAGGAGCCAAGCGUUGUCCGGAUUUACUGGGCGUAAAGAGCACGCAGGCGGUCGUGCAAGUCGCGUGUGAAAGCCCCCGGCUCAACUGGGGAGGGUCACGCGAUACUGCUCGACUCGAAGGCAGGAGAGGGAAGUGGAAUUCCCGGUGUAGUGGUGAAAUGCGUAGAUAUCGGGAGGAACACCAGUGGCGAAGGCGACUUCCUGGCCUGUUCUUGACGCUGAGGCGCGAAAGCUAGGGUAGCAAACGGG
rnacentral:rRNA from 1 species